UUUCUAUCUCUGAGGUAAAAUAGUCAAUAUUUUACAUUGCAUAUUACAUUAGCAAUACAUUUUAUAGAUAUCCUUUAUCAUAUUAUGAAUGUUAUCUUAUAUUCCUAACUUACUGAGACUCUUUUUUAUAAGCAAUGGAUGCUAAAUUUUGCCAAAUGCCUUUUUUUCAUCUAGUGAGAUAAUUUUUCUUUAUUCUUUGAAUGUGUCAAUUGCAUUGAUUGUUUUAAGCAUUAAAACAACUUUGCAAACCUGAGAUAAACUUCAGUUGAACAUGAGGUACUAUAUUUUUCAUGUGUUACUAAACUUUCUCUGUUCAUAGGUGUAACAUCUAUGUUUAUAUAGUACAUUGCUUUGCAACUUUAUUAUUAUUUUAUUGUAAUGUCUGGAAUUAGGAAAUAUGUUUUCCCCUCCUUUAUUUUCUUAGGGUGAGUCAUUUGUGAUCCUGUGCACCCCUCAUAAUCCCCGUCUCUUGGUGAAGGAACUGAGCCAAGAUGGGAACAUUGGAGUCUUCUCCAUAGAAAUAUGAAAUUGAGCCUCAGAGGAGACUGCCAGGCUCUUCAUAUUGCCUUUGAAGAUAUGUAAGAAUUGUUGCUAACAAAUGACUGAUUCGGGACCUGAACAAUGAAAGCCAGAGAAUGAAUGACAUAUCUGAGCAAGUCACGCUGAUCAGGUACAGUUAUUUGGUUUUCUUUUGAUCACUGUUAUGUGUAAUUA
rnacentral:lncRNA from 13 species